AUGUAAUUUAAUAAUCAAAAAUAUGUAUUGAUGCGACUAUAUACAUGAAAAUACAAGAGGUUGGAGAACAAAAUGUAAAUUUAAAGAGCAAUAACUACAAAAUA